ensembl:lncRNA
AUGAAGCUAGGUAUAGCAUGUUAUGUUUGUUUUUUUCUUAAAUUUAUAUGUAAAAUACACAACAUGUUUACAAUGAAAAUUCUCUUUAAUGUUUUAGUGUUAUUACAGAUCAAAAUGACAGAUCAAAACAAAGAGCAGUGUGGUGUUGCCAAGAAUCUAAAGAGAGACACUGAAACUGCCGCUGAUAAUUUGAGCCUCGAGACAAACAAAGUCACAAACCCACAGACACAAAAAGGUAAGAUGAGUUCUGUGAACGUGUUAGUCUGCAGUCCUCUGAGGCUGCUACAUGUGAUAUUUAUACCUAAAGAGCAAUCUGCCGUUAGACCAAAAUUAACCUGUGGUAACAGCUAGAUGAUAAGUUAACUCUUAAAAUGCUACUCUACAAUAUAUAAUGUGUAUCCUACAAUAUAUGUUCUGUUAUUUUCUUUUCCAGAUAAAGGUGAACCCUCGUUUCACACAUUACACUCUACUUUCAUUGACAACAAUACUCUGCAGCCUCUAUAUGGUGACUAUUCAUAUUUUAAUUCUUAACUAUAUUAUAUUGUAUGAAGUAUUUUACACACAUUUUCUCACACAAGUUUGAAAAGUAAAUUAAAGCUGACUGUUAUGAGAAAUGGGCAAAUACAAUUCCUCUGUUGCUUCAGACAUACAAUAUACAGACUUCAGACAGACUAGACAGACCUGCAAGCAACAUCAGCCUGCUCAAAGGCCUGUUUUUCACUUUUGUUUAGUGUUGGUUUCACUUGUCCAGAUUUUUACAUUUUUGUUUUUCAACCCUAUAUGAGCAGGACCUUGGCUUGUAGUUAGUGCUUCUGCCUCAGUGCAGGAGGAUCUGCACCUUGGUAUCCACUUUAUGCAGCUAUUUAAAACACAUCCUACGCUAAUGCUGUAUAAGCUCCACAACAGUUUUCCUGGUUAAGCCAAAACUUUAACUUUGUAGUUGAAUCUGUGUUUUAAAAAUAGAAUCUGGGUUUUAGUGUAGAGAUUGAAAAAAUAACUUCCUCUAAUACUUCCUCUGGGUAUUAUAAAAAACUUGGCAUCUCAAGCAUUAAGCAUCAUACCAAUGCUUAGCACAAAGAAAAUAUUGUAGAGGUUUAAGUAACGCAAGUCCUUUCCCAUUAGAAAUAAAAAUGUUUCCAUUGUCAACUACCAGUGACUGAAGUGAGCCUGUUCCCGUCAGGGAAGGGGAAGAAAACAUGGUUCAAAAGUCUAAGGGGCUUGGAAAGAAAGGUGUUUCUUUAAGUUUCUUGAAGACAUUUCUGACACCCGUUUUCACACCUUGGCUCAUGUGAUUAGGCAGAGCAUCACUAGGGGGUCAUGACCCUCUUAGGGACACUUCCAAUAGGGCUUAAACAUCUGGGACUCUUCACUAAUUGCUCUCAGAACUGAAGAAGCUUCUUUAAGUUUGUUGAAGACAUUUCACCUCUUAUCCAAGAAGUCCAGACGCUUUUCUUUCCAAGCUCCUUAGAUUACAAUGACCUGGAUGACUGAGAACCUUCACAGACAUGGUUCAAAUGUUAAAAAUGUAUGUAAAAAUGUAUGCAUGUUCUUAAUAAUAGGAAUAAAAUAUCAAUUUCUCCUAGGUUUCGUAACAUAAUUUCAGUUUUUUAAAUAUUAUAUAUACAAAGGCUUGCUUUUUGGUUAUUUCCAUAGAUUCCGUAGAUUCAGGAGAAUGCAGCUUCAUGGUGCAAGCUACUCUGUCAGAUCCAGCUUUAACUCCUCAGGAAUGCCAAUAUUCUGCAAUUAAGUGGUGAAGUAUGGGAUUCUUUUGUUUUUUGGUUGUUGUUUCUUUUUUUACUCCAUUUCAUGACUGUAAACCCAAAGAAAGAUUUCCUUAUUUUUUUUCUAAAUGGAUGAAAAUGAUGUGAUUCUGUUGGCUUCAUUGUGUGCUGGCCUACAGCUUGCUAUGCAACGGUUCGCAGCAGAGUGUGAAGCGGUGGGAAUGAGAAUCAGCACCUCCAAAUCUGAGGCCAUGGUCCUCAGCCGGAAAAGGGUGGAGUACCCACUCUGGGUUAGGGAUGAGUUCUUGCCCCAAGUGAAGGAGUUUAAGUAUCUUGGGGUCUUGUUCACGAAUGACGAGAGAAGGGAGUGUGAGAUCAAAAGAAGGAUUGGUGCAGCGGCCGCAGUGAUGCGGCUGCCUCAAGUACAUUGAGUACUACUAAAUUUAACAGCUUAAGUGCAUUUCUUUCAGUUCAACAGUAUCUUCUUGGCCUCUGCUACACACUAUGCUGUUAAUAUUCAACAAAUAUACUGAUUAUAUGAAUAAAUAAAUAUUUUUAAAAAUAUAUUAAAUGCAAAGACAACAUGUACUUUUAAAUAUCUGAAUGACAUAUUUGAUGGAUUAUACUGUCAACUGCUGAAACUCUAAAGUGAAAUAAAACAAAAACCAAAGAACAGAUGGGUCAAAAGCAUAUUUGGAAGUAAUUUGUCACAUGAAUCAUGUCUUUGUCACCACCUAGUGGUAGGAAACAUAUUUGUUGAACACAGAUGAAUCUUGUACAACAAAACAUGACUUAGUUCUGGUUUAGCUCUGGUUAUUAAAAAUACUAAUCCUCUUUUCUCCCUCUUUACAGAUCAGUGAAAGGAGUGUCAGCUCAAUCAAGGAGAUUGUGCAACCCGUUUACUGUGCUGUUUCAUUUGCUAAGACUGGGUCACAUUUCUUAAAUAUUCAUCUCGGGGUACCUUUUCAGUCUGUGUAUAUUUGGAAUAAGACGAGUUGAGUUAAAUGUGAGUAAAAUUCAAAAACAUGCUUUACAACAUAUUUUUUUAGCUUGGUUGUGUUAUUGUCAUGGUCCCUGCGGAGGGAUAGAGUUUUGUGUGCGAGGGAUACCCUGUGAGGAGUGAGGGGAGCGGAGCGUGUGUGGAGAUCUUGUAUUUCCCUGACCCUGUGGACCCCUGGAACCCUGGACCCCUGGCCUUUCCCCCCCACAUAUAUAUAGUGCACCCGGUGUGGAUUAAUAAAGAACUGUUUAACUGUAUCUCUCAGUGUGCGCCUGAAUCCGUCCUGCCUGUCUUGACAGUUACAGUGAAAAUAUUGUGUUGUAAUGCAAACAAAUGAAAUUCAAAAAAAUGAUGCAAUAAUUAAUUAUCAUGUAGCCACAAGAUAAUUCGUUUGAUGUAAUGUAAAUAAAUGUGGAAUCGCUUAACAAAUUUUUUGUCAGGAUUUCUCAUUUGUCAUGAUUUAAUGUUGCAGUCUUUGCUUUGUUUCAUGAUUUCUACAAAAGAAAAUUAAAAUUAACUUAUAAAUUUCAUUUCCAGAUACAAAUUCUGUUUACAUAUCAUACCCCUUCUUUCUCUUGUGAAAAGAGAUGUAAUUAAAUGAUAAUG